rnacentral:rRNA from 1 species
GGGAAAAGAAACCAACAGGGAUUGCCUUAGUAACGGCGAGUGAAGCGGCAAAAGCUCAAAUUUGAAAUCUGGCACCUUCGGUGUCCGAGUUGUAAUUUGAAGAAGGUAACUUUGGAGUUGGCUCUUGUCUAUGUUCCUUGGAACAGGACGUCACAGAGGGUGAGAAUCCCGUGCGAUGAGAUGCCCAAUUCUAUGUAAAGUGCUUUCGAAGAGUCGAGUUGUUUGGGAAUGCAGCUCUAAGUGGGUGGUAAAUUCCAUCUAAAGCUAAAUAUUGGCGAGAGACCGAUAGCGAACAAGUACAGUGAUGGAAAGAUGAAAAGAACUUUGAAAAGAGAGUGAAAAAGUACGUGAAAUUGUUGAAAGGGAAGGGCUUGAGAUCAGACUUGGUAUUUUGCGAUCCUUUCCUUCUUGGUUGGGUUCCUCGCAGCUUACUGGGCCAGCAUCGGGUUUGGAUGGUAGGAUAAUGACUAAGGAAUGUGGCUCUACUUCGGUGGAGUGUUAUAGCCUUGGUUGAUACUGCCUGUCUAGACCGAGGACUGCGUCUUUUGACUAGGAUGUUGGCAUAAUGAUCUUAAGCCACCCGUCU